rnacentral:rRNA from 1 species
GACGAACGCUGGCGGCGUGCUUAACACAUGCAAGUCGAACGGAAAGGCCCUGCUUUUGUGGGGUGCUCGUGUGCCGAACGGGGGAGUAACACGUGAGUAAACUGCCCUUGACUUUGGGAUAACUUCAGGAAACUGGGGCUAAUACCGGAUAGAAGCUCCUGCUGCAUGGUGGGGGUUGGAAAGUUUCGGCGGUUGGGGCUGGACUAGCUGCUUAUCAGCUUGUUGGUGGAGUAGUGGCUUACCAAGGCUUUGACGGGUAGCCGGCCUGAGAGCGGGACCGGCGACAUGGGGACUGAGAGACGGCGCAGACGCCUAUGGGAGGCAGCAGUGGGGAAUAUUGCACAAUGGGCGGAAGCCUGAUGCAGCAACGCCGCGAGCGGGAUGACGGCCUUCGGGUUGUAAACCGCUUUCGCCGGUGACGAAGCGUGAGUGACGGUAAUGGGUAAAGAAGCACCGGCUAACUACGUG